UACGUAGGGUGCAAGCGUUGCCCGGAUUUAUUGGGCGUAAAGAGCGUGUAGGCGGCUAGGUAGGUCCGUUGUGAAAACUCGAGGCUCAACCUCGAGACGUCGAUGGAAACCAUCUGGCUAGAGUCCGGAAGAGGAGAGUGGAAUUCCUGGUGUAGCGGUGAAAUGCGCAGAUAUCAGGAAGAACACCCGUGGCGAAGGCGGCUCUCUGGUACGUGACUGACGCUGAGGCACGAAGGUCAGGGGAGCAAACGGG
rnacentral:rRNA from 1 species